rnacentral:lncRNA from 1 species
AUGUCUGUUGCUGGUUGGUUGACAGUGCCAUGUCUCCUAUGGUUGGUUGACGACAUGUUCUCUGAUGGUUGGUUUGACAGGGCCAUCUCUCCUACCCAGUUGGUUGACAGGGCCAUGUCUGUUGCUAGUUGGUUGACAGGGCCAUGUCUCCUACUGGUUGGUUGACAGGGUCAUGUCUGUUGCUGGUUGGUUGACAGGGCCAUGUCUGUUGCUGGUGGUUGACAGGGCCAUGUCUGUUGCUGGUUGGUUGACAGGGCCAUGUCUGUUGCUGGUUUGUUGACAGGGCCAUGUCUGUUGCUGGUUGGUUGACAGGCCAUGUCUGUUGCUGGUUGUUGACAGGGCCAUGUCUGUUGCUGGUUGUUUGACAGGGCCAUGUCUGUUGCUGGUUGAUUGACAGGGCCAGUCUGUUGCGUGCUGGCAAGACUUCACUGAGCUGCUUUCUCUGCUACUUCACUCUCAUCUAAAACACAGCCAGAUGCUUUCCCCUCACAGUCAACCUCACCUUACCACUGACAGGCAGCAGUAAGGUACAACCACUACUCUCUAAUACAUACAUUAUCACACCACCACCUCUACCACCACAUAUCUACAAUUACAUACAUUAUCACGCCACU